rnacentral:lncRNA from 1 species
GUGCUCUGUAUAUAUGUACAGGAGGAUAAUUUUUAAAACUGUACUUAUAUAAAAGAGAGGAGACCUGAUUCAACUUUUGCAUAGACUGAUAUAAAGUAGAAGUGAGCACAUGGAAGACUUUGAAACUACACAGCUGUAAAUUUGGAGUAAAUGAAAAGCAAAUUAGAUGUAGAAUAAAAUCAAGAUAUGCUAAGAACAUCAGAAGAGAUGUACUGGCUCAGCCCUGUGGUUGACAUAGCCCAACAGUGUCUCUGACAGUAGCACAGGAAACACUAUUAGGUACAACAUGCAAGCCUAGCAGUUUCUACUAUUGACUUCCCUCAUACUCCAGCGUCCAGAAGUGGUGCACAAGGGAUAUUAGAAACUGCUGGGUUCCUGUCCACAUUCAGAUUAUCCACUAGUGUAUGGGAACUGUUGAAUCACGGCCUGAACCUCUGAUUGAUCACCUGAGGCAAGCGCUGAGUCAGCUGCAGGGGCACAGGUGAACGCAAUUUCACCUGAGUGACCCUCCUAGACCCCAUUUAAGGGCUGACUCCCAAGGCGGACGGCUCUCUAUCUGGAGAUCACUCCUCUUGGAGCUCUUCUGUGAGCCUAGGACACAGCAGGUAUGAUGCCAUGCUGUCAGAGCUGCCAUGGAAACUGCUGGUGCCUAGGGGGACAGAUUCUGCAAUCACAGCUGUCAGGAAGAGCAACCACAGUUUCUCUUGUCUAAGAGUCAUCAUCUGGUUUUGUGCUGUUACUGCUUGCCUUCCCUUUUGUUCCAGGAGUGUGGAAUGUUCCUGUUGUGUUUGUCAGCUGCAAGGGCCCAUUUCACCCGCUAAUACGAGUGAGUUUCGUCAGUGUGAAUUUAGCUUAGUUCUGUUCGAGUGGGUUACUGUAUCUGUUGAUCCAUACCACUUCAAUCUUGGCAGAAACAUAAUCAUGCUAUACACAUAUAUACAGAAGUAGUUAAGUUACAUUAGAAAACAUAUACACUGAAGUGGAUCAUUUUUUGAGGGAUCUAAGGAGGUGACAUACAAGCUGUUGCUCCAGUUGGAGCUUGCUAUUGUUUGGUUAACCAGGAGGAAAUGUGGUGUACUCUGGAGAACUCUUGCUUCCCCUUCUAAAUACAUUGUCC